rnacentral:ncRNA from 1 species
UAAAAAACGUUGAAGAGGAAAAGUAUGCGGCAGAUGCCUUUCAGAGAGAACCGCCACGGCUGCGAUCGGUUCAGGCCCCUCUGUCCGCAGAAGUGCCCCUCUGAGUCUGCGGCUGAACAAAAGUAAGCAGCAGCGGGUUAACACCCGUUAUCAAUUUGGAGUUGGGAAGACGGCCAGGCCGUUUUUCAAACAGAGUGGAACCGCGUUUACAAAACGUCUCUGUC